UAAACAUCUGUGCGCUUCUUGAAUGUAUGUCUGCCGCUCCAGAUCCAGCGGGAUCUCCACUCCGCUCCAGGGUUUCUCGCCGCCUUUCCUUAAAAGCACUCGCUGAGUUUAAAGCGCAGAAAAACACGGCAGCGGCUGCAGAAGCGGCAGCGGCGGAUCUCAUCGCGGACCAGUGUGUGUGAAUGAAAGUGUGCGUGUGUGUGUGCAGGAUGAUGGAGGACGAGCCGCGAGAGACCCUGGACUAACCAUUUUUGUUUUAUUUUGUACAUACAAAUGGAACCUGUUUGCGUUUCCGUCCCAGGCUGGAUGUUAUACUGAAACACUGUAGAUGAGAAAAUGCCGUUCUCCAAGCGCAUCGUGGAGCCCCAGUGGCUGUGCAGGCGCUCGGACACGGAGGACGAGCUGCUUCAGGAUUUGUGCGCCUUCAGUAACGUGGCUCUGUCCCGGACCCUGCGCCAGCUGUCGGACCUGGCCAAACACGCCUGCUCGCUUUUCCAGGAGCUCGAGAAUGAGCUGCUUUUCACGAACCGGCGGGUGUGCGCGCUCCGGGACACCGUCAACCGUAUCCAGGAGAACACCGAGGCGCUCGACCCCAAGCAGGAGGCAGUGCGUAAGUACCAAAUCUUCACCUUUAAAUUCUGUUUGUUAUGUUUAACAAGAAAGAUACAAGUUGAUUUUUUGAAGUAAGGCCUUUUUUUGACAUUAGUUGGUUAUUGCAGGCGGCACGGUGGCUCAGUGGUUAACGCUGUUGUCUCACAGCAAGAAGGUCGCUCAUUCAAUUCCCGGCUGGGUCAGUUAGCAUUUCUGUGUGGAGUUUGCAUGUUCUCCCCGUGUUAGCCUGGGUUUCCUUCAGGAGCUCCAGUUUCCCCCACAAUCCAAAUACACGCGUUAUAGGUGAAUUGAAUAAACUAAAUUGGCUGUAGUUUAUAUGUGUGUGUGUGAAUGUGAGAGUGUAUGGGUGUUUCCCAGUACUGUGUUAUGGCUGGAAGGGCAUCUGCUGCAUAAAACAUAUGCCAGAAUAGUUGGUGAUUCAUUCCACUGUGGCAACCCCUAAUAUAUAAGGGACUAAGCUAAAGGAAAAUGAAUGAAUGCUGAAUUUACUCAAUUUACCUUCAUCUUGCUGGGUUUUUUAUCUUCCUCCAUUUUCAUGUUUUUUUUUUUUAUUAUAUAGUUCUUCACCCAAUAUUAAUAAGUAUUAAAGGAACAGUUCUCUCAAGUGCUUAUAAACAUUUAAGAGUUUCUUUCUUCUGUUAAACACAAAAGAAGAUGUUUUGAAGAAUGCUUUAAAACCUGUAACCAUUGACUUCCAUAGUAUGAAAAACAAUUAAUGUGGAGGUCAAUAGUUUCCAGUUCUCUUCAAAAUAUCUGCUUUUGCGUUCAACAGGUUAAAAGCAAGGGUGCGUAAAUGAUGACCGAACUUGCUAUAUUUUUGGGCGAAAUAUCUUUUAAAAUCUUGUUUAGAUAGAUUUGCUCAGUAUACCUUCAUCUUGCUGGGUUUUUUUAUCCUUCAUUUUCAUUUAUAGUUAUAUAUACAUCACCCUGCAGCCCAACACCGGUUACUCACUGAAUCUAAGCAGGGCUGAGCCUGGAUGGGAGACCACAUGGGAAAACUAGGUUGCUGUUGGUGUUAGUGAGGCCAAUAGGGGGAGCUCAACCUGCAGUCUGUGUGAGUCCUAAUGCCCCAGUAUAGUGAAGGAGACACUAUACUGGCUUUCGGAUGAGACUUUAAACCGAGUCCUGACUCUCUGUGGUCAUUAAAUAUCCCAUCGCACUUCUCGUAAAGAGUAGGGGUGUAACACCAGUGUCCUGGCCAAAUCCCCUCUCGGCCCUUAAUCGUCAUGACUUCCCAAUCAUCCCCAUCCACUGAAUUGGCUCUAUCACUGUCUCCCCAAUCCACCUAUAGCUGGUGUGUGGUGAGCGCGCUGGUGCUGUUGUCCUGUGGCUGCUGUCGCAUCAUCCAAGCGGAGUUGCCCCAACCCCCCCUUCAUGAUUACACUUUGGGUGUAUGGCCAUACAUGAUAAAUGCACUGUACAAAUACACAUCACAUUACAUGUUUGGUAUUAUAUGGUUCUUCACCCAAUACAGGAUUAUUAAAGGGACAGUUCAUUCCAAAAUUUUAAGUCGAUCACAAUUUACUCAAGUCAUUCCAAACCUGUUUGACUUUCUUUCUUCUGUUGAACAGCGUUGAACCAUUGACUUACAUAGUAGGAAAAACAAAUACUAUUGAGGUCAAUGGUUACAGGUUUCCAACAUUUUUCAAAAUAUCUUCAUUUGCGUUCAAACAGGUUCAAAACAAGUUUAAUAUAAGCAAAUGAUGACAGAACUUUAAUUUUUGGCUGAAAUAUAUCCCUUUAAAUCUUGCUACUAAUAUAUUAGUAUGCAAUUGUAAACAAAUCUAUGGCAGCACAGUGGUUAGCGCUGUCGCCUCACAACAAAAAGGUUGCUGGUUCGAGUCCUCCAGGUGCUCCGGUUUCCCCCUUAGUCCAAACACAUGCGCUGUAGGUGAAUUGAAUAUACUUAAUUGACCGAUGUGUAUGAGUGUGUAUGGGUGUUUCCUAGUGAUGGGUUGCAGCUGGAAGGGCAUCCGCUGCAUAAAACAUAUGUUGGAAUAGUUGGCGGUUCAUUCCCUUGAUAAAUAAAGAACUUAAAGCUGAAGGAAAACGAAUGAAAGACCUGUGCCAUGGAAUUAGGUUCUGAACAGAGUUCUCUUUCCCCCAUAUGAUGUGAAUGUGCUGCCAUGUGCUUGACUUCAGACAAAAAAAAAAGCGAAGUAGUAUGUAUUGUGCUGUUUCUCUGGCAUCAGCGAGCACAGAGAGAGCGUCCCGCAUGUUCACACUGCCUUUGUCUUGAUCUCACGUGUUUUGCGUGGCUUAACAUAAUCACAGAUGCUCAGAGAGGAAACUGUGCCACGGCGCAUGUAAUAUUGCUGAUGGCAGAUUUGGGGAGAGUCUCUCCUCCUCCUCCAACUUCCCUAUUGGAGGUCCCGACUUUCCCUGCUCCGUCUCCAUAGGAACAAUGCAGGAUCCCCUCGUCUGCUGCGCGUGCUGCUCUGUAAUCCACACUCCCCGCCAAUCAGCUGUAGACAUGUUCUCAUCCACCUGUUUUUAUGCUCAUUUUGGAUUUUGGAUAAGAAAACGUGUCUAAACUACGAUGGCAUCAAACUACAAUCUCUAUAUGUCUCCAUCCACCUGAUUUUAUGCACAUUUUGGAUUAUGCCAAUCUUUUGCGUGGCAAAACUGCUCAAUGGAAACACUAAGAUGUGCUUAAAUUGUAAAUGCUGAUGCGCACAAGUGAGAAGGAUAAACCUUUUAUCUUCUAAGAAAACAUGUGCAUAAACUACUAUGAAAACAAAUUUGCUGAAUAAAUUCCAGCAUGCGCAUCAAAAAAGUCAUGUGAUUUUGGCCCCUGAAGUCUUUUUUAAUUUCAUUUUUUUAUUUAUUUAGGAUUGUAUUAGUUGUAACUCUCAGGAUAUGUUGUUUAUUAUGGUAAACAAAAUGUUGUUUAAGAUUUUGACUUUUUUUUUUUUACAUAAAAAUUGUAAAUAGAGUAAAC
ensembl:lincRNA